rnacentral:rRNA from 1 species
AUUGAACGCUGGCGGCAGGCCUAACACAUGCAAGUCGAACGGUAACAGGAAACAGCUUGCUGUUUCGCUGACGAGUGGCGGACGGGUGAGUAAUGUCUGGGAAACUGCCUGCUGGAGGGGGAUAACUACUGGAAACGGUAGCUAAUACCGCAUAACGUCGCAAGACCAAAGAGGGGGACCCUCGGGCCUCUUGCCAUCGGAUGUGCCCAGAUGGGAUUAGCUUGUUGGUGGGGUAACGGCUCACCAAGGCGACGAUCUCUAGCUGGUCUGAGAGGAUGACCGGCCACACUGGAACUGGGACACGGUCCAGACUCCUAAGGGAGGCAGCAGUGGGGAAUAUUGCACAAUGGGCGCAAGCCUGAUGCAGCCAUGCCGCGUGUAUGAAGAAGGCCUUCGGGUUGUAAAGUACUUUCAGCGGGGAGGAAGGGAGUAAAGUUAAUACCUUUGCUCAUUGACGUUACCCGCAGAAGAAGCACCGGCUAACUCCGUG